rnacentral:rRNA from 1 species
CCUACGGGGGGCAGCAGUGAGGAAUAUUGGUCAAUGGGCGGGAGCCUGAACCAGCCAAGUCGCGUGAGGGAAGACGGUCCUAUGGAUUGUAAACCUCUUUAGGCGGGGAGCAAUGCCGGGCACGCGUGCCCGGCGGGAGAGUACCCGCAGAAUAAGCCUCGGCUAACUCCGUGCCAGCAGCCGCGGUAAUACGGAGGAUGCGAGCGUUAUCCGGAUUUAUUGGGUUUAAAGGGUGCUGAGGCGGCGCGUUAAGUCAGUGGUCAAAUUGAGGGGCCCAACCCCUUCCCGGCAUUGAAACUGGCGCUCUUGAGUGGAAGAGAAGUAUGCGGAAUGCGUGGUGUAGCGGUGAAAUGCAUAGAGAGCACGCAGAACCCCGAUUGCGAAGGCAGCAUGCCGGCUUCCGACUGACGCUGAAGCACGAAAGCGUGGGGAUCGAACAGGAUUAGAUACCCGUGUAGUC